GAUGAAGAACGCAGCGAAAUGCGACAAGUAAUGCGAAUUGCAGAAUUCAGUGAGUCAUCGAAUCUUUGAACGCACAUUGCGCCCUGUGGUAUUCCGCAGGGCAUGCCUGUUCGAGCGUCAUUUCAACCCUCAAGCUCUGCUUGGUGUUGGGCCCUGCCCGCUGCGGCCGGCCCUAAAGACAGUGGCGGUGCCGCCUGGCCCUGAGCGUAGUACAUCUCUCGCUCCAGUGCCCGGUGGUAGCCUGCCAGAACCCCAACUCUCGUGGUUGACCUCGGAUCAGGUAGGGAUACCCGCUGAACUUAAGCAUAUCAUAAGCGGAGGA
rnacentral:misc_RNA from 1 species